GAUGAAGAACGUAGCGAAAUGCGAUAAGUAAUGCGAAUUGCAGAAUUCAGUGAGUCAUCGAAUCUUUGAACGCACAUUGCGCCCUGUGGUAUUCCGCAGGGCAUGUCUGUUCGAGCGUCAUUUCAACCCUCAAGCCUCGCUUGGUGUUGGGCCCUGCCCGCCGCGGCCGGCCCUAAAGAUAGUGGCGGCGCCGCCUGGCCCUCAGCGUAGUACAGCUCUCGCUCCAGGGUCCGGCGGCAGCCUGCCAGAACCCCCCAACUCUGUGGUUGACCUCGGAUCAGGUAGGGAUACCCGCUGAACUUAAGCAUAUCAAUAAGCGGAGGA
rnacentral:misc_RNA from 1 species